GUGUCAGCCGCCGCGGUAAUACGGAGGGUGCAAGCGUUAUCCGGAUUCACUGGGUUUAAAGGGAGCGCAGGCGGGCUGGUAAGUCAGUGGUGAAAGCCUUGAGCUUAACUCGAGAACUGCCAUUGAUACUAUCAGUCUUGAAUAUUGUUGAGGUUUGCGGAAUGGGUCAUGUAGCGGUGAAAUGCAUAGAUAUGACCCGGAACACCUAUUGCGAAGGCAGCAGGCUAAACAAAGAUUGACGCUGAGGCUCGAAAGCGUGGGGAUCAAACAGGAUUAGAUACCCUGGUAGUCC
rnacentral:rRNA from 1 species